UUAUAGCUUACUUCUACCCCUCUCCCCCAAGAUCUGAGAUAGUGCUAGCACACCCCAGAGAGGUACAUAUUUCCCUGUCCCACAAAGUAAUCCUCUUGAAUGGUAAGUAGCUACUUGUUCAAAAUAUCAAACAUGUAUGAUUGCAUUUCUGGAUGAAUAACAUUUUCUCUUGCUGUCAGAUUUUUUACCACAUUACAAAAAUAGAAAUCUUAAUGUAAUUAUCUUUUAAAACACUGUUUUAAAUUCCUGAAACACUGCAGCACUUCAAAAGCUGCAUGGUGCAUUGUAUUUGCUUUCUAACAAUGGAGAAAUAUGAAAUACUUAAAAAUAUUAGUAUAGCAGAUUGUUAAUUUUUAAUCCUUGCUUAGGAUGAAUUCUAUAUGCAUUUUAAGAUGGGCAGUAGCACUUGCUUAAAGUCCCUUUUCUCCCUCUCCCCUCUUUGUGUUUGGUAAAUUUAUGGGGAUGCAGCUGUAAAUUCAGGUAUAAUUCCCUUUCAGGCCUACAGAGCAGUCAGUUCAUCACGCAGCAAAUAUAUUGAACACACAAAUGCUCUUCGUGAGAGAGACGAGGAGCAGAAAAGCAAUCUUUGGUCCAGGAAGGAAGGUGAUGGAGAAGAGGUGGAUGAAGUCCCUGAAGCAGAGAAGGCCAUGGAAGAGGCCGAUGCAGGAGCUGCUGGUGAACCUGCAGCACAGGAUGAGAGUGCUGGACCCACAGCACAGGAUGACAGUGCUGGGGCAUCCCCAGAAGCUGGAGGGGAGGAUGACUCACUGCCUCCAGAGGGAUCCCAUGCUGUGGAGGAAGCACAGCAGGAAGCUGCUGCUGAUUCAGAAGCUGCUGCUAAUUCAGAAGCUGCUGCUGAUUUGGAACUUGCUGCUAAUUCAGAAGCUGCUGCAGUUCAAGUUUCUGAGGAGGAGAAGACACCUGAAGAGGCUGCUAAGGAGCCCUAAAGUAAGCAGUGCAGAUGCCUUUGGGAAUUUAAUGCAAAUAUUUGUGGCAGUCAACCAGCUGAUUCCUGUGUGAAACCUCAUACUCUUCCUUGAAGACGUAAAACUGUGCAGUUUGUCCUACCACACACUGGUCAUCACAGCCAGUAUCCAGUGCUGCAAGAGAUGAUUUCUGCUGCCUAGGGAAACGCUUCUGUGACUAACAUCUCUGCUGUAGAAAGUAGCAUCCAGCCAAGCCACUCAGCAUGUCCUAAAUACAUGUGCUAAGAGAAGCAGUAGACUUAACUAAGCCAUGCCAGAAGAACUCCUUCUGUGUCUUUGUUGUCUUGAUAUGUACAGUGAUUUCUUACCUUUGGUCCAAACUGUUGUGCGUAGUUACACCUGUGUAACAUUCCGUGCUAAAAUGUAAGCAAAAGGUUUUGAAGUCAAGUCAAAAUAUUAUACAUUAUAAAUGAUACAAAAUAUUAUACCUGUUAGCAUUUUUAAAUUGGAUCACAGGGAAAAUAACAAUGUGUUUGCUCCUGUGAUUGUAAGCAUAGGACAUUUGGCUGCACAUGAUCAAUUUUCCCCCUGCAUAAACCUUUCAGAUACUACCAUUCCUUGCACAAUAACAUCCAGGAGUAAACAUUUGAAGGGUCCUGCUUUGGGAAGAAAACCUGUUCACAAGCAGUAGGUACUUUGUAGCAUGGCAAUCAAAAGGUAGCACUGGUUGGUGUUGUCAUCAUGUAUCAAAGUGGUGGCUCCUGCCUUGGGUGUGCUGGGCUCUGCUCCUCCCAAAUCUUAUUCAGCUUGCUGGGGUCUUUCUGUGUUGCUCUGUGGCAUGUGUAACAACACAAAGGUUUGGUGCAAACCUUCAAACUGGUACAAAUCACAAGCCUCUUAUGCCAUGGCAAAGCCUGUCUCUAAGCACUUGCACACAGAGAGAAAAACCCCUGUGAAGGGCUAUGCAACAGGUGCUCAAACGGACAGGCACUCUUAGGGACUAAGAAAGAGCUGAAUAGCUAAAUAACCUUGUUUUCUCAGUAUUAGCUUAAUUAAAAAUACAUUUAUUAUGAAUAAAAGGUUUGUAUGCCACUGUGCUCCCGCUGUGCUACGUGCACGAGUGUGCAUCUAAGAUAAAAUACUGAGAAACCCACUGCAGCCAUCACAGAAUGGCAAUAAUUCUAAACCAGAGCCAAAUAAGGUAUAUUAUGCACUACUUAUAUAGAAAGUGUGUUUCAUAAGGUGUGUCUGACUCCUUUCUUUUCAAGCAGAAGUUUGGAAAAUGUUGAAAGGGAAAUGAUAGCAUUCUGACAUUCCUACCCACGGCACAAAGCAGCACAUCAUAAAGCAAAUUAUAAUAGUGUUCCAACAAAAAUAUAGCCUGUUGCUUCUGGACCUACUUAGGAAUAACUGGAGUAAUGCAGAGGCAAAAGCGAGCUCCUGAACUUCAAGAAGACAAACCACAGCCUUCUGCUUAAAGGAUAAAGCCUCUGUGAUUAAAAGCAAUUUUUGUAGACAAAGCUGCUGGAAUAAAAAUCUUAGACUGAUAUUUUGUUGGAUAAGAGUCUAUCUUUAUUUAUCUUGUAGAUUAAACAUGCUGUAAUGGAUGUGUGCACUUAAAUGUUCUAUUUCUUCAUUUUCACUAAUUCCUAGUAAAAAGAAGUUAUUUUAACUGCAUCUAACAAUAGGAUUUCUGAAAUGGUAGGCUUUUCUGAAUGGCUCUUUAUCUCUGGAACUGCUCUGGUACAUGGCAAAAUAUGUUUGCCCUCUGGAACAGCUGCCUGAAUGAUUGAAUCACAAACUAUGAUUUCCAAAGCUUUUCAUCCUUUCAAUUUCAAAAAAAUGUGAGACUCCCAGAAUAGCCUGUACACAUGCUUUAUGCCAGAUUUUUUUUUUUUUUUUUUUUUUUUUUUUUUUUUUUUUAGUUAUUUUAAAUUUAAAAAAAAGGAAACUAGAGGACAUGCAGCACAGCAUGGUCUGCUUCAGCACUUGAUUCUCUUAGAGUAACAACAGUCAUUCUGCAAUUUGCAGAGGUCUGGCCAUCGUUGUCUCAGUCUUGCCAGUAUGGAGUCUGCAUACCACAUAAAUUAAUAUUUUUCUGUCCAUCACUUUCAAAAAAGUGAAUUUUUGAGUUGCUACACAAAGGCUGUUACGAACCAUGGAAAAUGUUGAAAGAUAUUGAUGAAAUGGAUCCUUAAGGAGAACAAUGCCACAGCAGAGAGCAGACAUAAUGCAAGACUAAAGGAAAUUGGAGGAAAGGUUUGGUCUUGAGAAUGCAUCCACUUCACAGGCCAGAGAUUCCGAAGCUUGAGAUUCCAGAAUUUGUCCAAACUGCACAUUGCUGUCAGCAGCUAUCUGUGAAAACAGCUAGCAAGGAUUUUCACCUCCCCCUAGUGCCAGUUAGUCCCUCUUUGAAGGGUGACAGCCUGUUGCUGCUGGCAGCUAUUCACAGAGAUGAAAAUUCUGGAGAUAACAAAGUCCAUCUAACAAUUUCAGGUUUACUUUUUGCCUGCGUCGAUGUAGACAUAGAAUUUCAAUUUUAUUUUCAUUUGCUUCUUCCAAACAUAAGACAAUUACUAAAAAUCGUAAUUCAAACUGCAAGCUGGUACCCAGCACUUUAACAAUCUGAGAGUAAAAUACUUUAAUCAAGAUUUCCUAUGUCUGUGCAACAGGCUUUGAUGAUGUGGUACUACUUUUUAAAUCUGUUUUUCUGGAAAAGAAAAAAAACCACAAAAAAACCAAAACAAAAACAAAAUUCCAGUGAAUUCCAACCCAGCCAAAAUGUGCUGUGAUUCUUUUCCUCACCUGAUGGGCUCUUUCCCUCAAAAAUUUUGAGCCAACUAGCCACCACAACUUCUGCUUUACCAGGCAGGUGGGAGGAGCACAAAGCUGAGUGAUGAAUGAGGAGACCAGUAGCUAAAAUAAGUUACUUGUAGUGAUGGUCAGCAGAUAAGCAAACAUAUGAUGCAGCUCUGUGGCACUUUUAUGGCUGCAAUCAGCUACUGUAGGUGCUGUUUCCUCCCUGUGGGUGGUUAGGAAAGACUGAGAGGUCUGAGGCACACAGAGGGUGUGGGAAGACAAAGGGACAGAAGGAAUUUUAUGUAAAAGGACAUUGAAGCUCACUUUGUGUGCUGCAAAUUUCCAUGGGGUGCCAUCCCUGCUGUGACAGAUAAUUCUGCUCUUUGGAAAGGUAUUACUUGGUUGGGUGCUUUUCUUGCUUGCCCUGCUCACCUGCUGCAGAAGAUGGAGGCUGUGCAGGAUGAUGGAAGUUAAUUCCAUUCCCAAGCAACAGGCAUCAACAUCACCAUGGGUAACUGGAUUCUCCUGCAUUCUGGGCAUUACUCCUUUAUUUGGGAUGCUGCAGGAGAUUUUGCCUCCUCCAGUUUUACUGGAGGGAGAAGAGGGCUAAAACUGUAGGUUUCUGUUCUGGAGUUAUUCCUGCUACUUGCUUGAAUGACAGGUAAUUAAACAGUGUGUUGAAACAGCGUGGUUUGCUUGUGGUUUAUUGAGAGAAACCAAUUUAAUUUUUAUUUAUGCCUCAGCAUAUGUUACAAAUCCAUUUUCUGGCAUGGGGUGAAAAGCACUCUAGGGGCUGUACACAUGUGGGGAGCCUUAACACCUGCCACAUGCAAGAGGCAGCUCCAUCUGCUGACUCCAAAGGAGCACCCUGGGGCACAGAGGGAACCUUCUGUCCUUCUGCUUCCCUCUCUGCUCUCUUUUCCUCUCUCUGCUCUCUUUUCUGUCCCCCUUUGGUAGGGACACUUACCCUACUUUAUCAAUAAACAGUUCUCAGAUAUAAUAUUGCUGUGUUUGCACUUUAUGUCAUCCAAGAAGUUUAUCAAGAAUCCUCCCCACUCCUGUUGCAGCAGGACAGGACAUUUCUCUAUCUGCAGAUGUUCUCCACUUCCCUUUGGUAUUUUACCCAGCUGAAAUGAUGGCUCUAGCAAGCUCUGAAAGGCUGAUUUUGAUUAAUGCCCAACAGCUCCAGCAUAACAAGUGGGAAACUUCUGAGCAAUAGAAAACUCUUCUUUGUGUGAUUGGUUAAUUAUUUGUAUAAGAUUUCAUGUGCAGAUCCAGCCUCUUAAUUACCUCAAAAUCUUGAUUUUU
ensembl:lncRNA